GAUGGCGACCGGCGCACGGGUGAGUAACACGUAUCCAACCUGCCGAUAACUCGGGGAUAGCCUUUCGAAAGAAAGAUUAAUACCCGAUGGUAUAAUCAGACCGCAUGGUCUUGUUAUUAAAGAAUUUCGGUUAUCGAUGGGGAUGCGUUCCAUUAGGCAGUUGGUGAGGUAACGGCUCACCAAACCUUCGAUGGAUAGGGGUUCCGAGAGGAAGGUCCCCCACAUUGGAACUGAGACACGGUCCAAACUCCUACGGGAGGCAGCAGUGAGGAAUAUUGGUCAAUGGGCGCAGGCCUGAACCAGCCAAGUAGCGUGAAGGAUGACUGCCCUAUGGGUUGUAAACUUCUUUUAUAUGGGAAUAAAGUUUUCCACGUGUGGAAUUUUGUAUGUACCAUAUGAAUAAGGAUCGGCUAACUCCGUGCCAGCAGCCGCGGUAAUGCGGAGGAUCCGAGCGUUAUCCGGAUUUAUUGGGUUUAAAGGGAGCGUAGGUGGACAGUUAAGUCAGUUGUGAAAGUUUGCGGCUCAACCCUAAAAUUGCAGUUGAUACUGGCUGUCUUGAGUACAGUAGAGGUGGGCGGAAUUCGUGGUGUAGCGGUGAAAUGCUUAGAUAUCACGAAG
rnacentral:rRNA from 1 species